rnacentral:rRNA from 1 species
UACGGGGGGGGCAAGCGUUGUUCGGAAUUACUGGGCGUAAAGGGCUCGUAGGCGGCCAACUAAGUCGGAUGUGAAAUCCCCAGGCUUAACCUGGGAACUGCAUCCGAUACUGGAUGGCUUGAAUCCGGGAGAGGAAAGCGGAAUACCUGGUGUAGAGGUGAAAUUCGUAGAUAUUCGCAAGAACACCAGUGGCGAAGGCGGCUCACUGGCCCGGUACUGACGCUGAGGUGCGAAAGCGUGGGGAGCAAACAGG